CGCCUGUUUAUCAAAAACAUCUCUCUAUGAAGAUGUAUAAAGUUUAACCUGCCCACUGAUCCAUUUAAAGGGCCGCAGUAUUAUAACUGUGCAAAGGUAGCAUAAUCAAUAGUUUUUUAAUUGAAAACUUGAAUGAAUGGUUGGACGAGAAAUAAACUGUCUCUUUUAAAUAAAUUGAAAUUUACUUUUAAGUAAAAAGGCUUAAAUUUCUUUAAGGGACGAUAAGACCCUAUAAAUCUUUAUAUUAAAUAUUAUUUAUCUUAUAAAUAUAUUAUUAAAUAAAAUAAUUAAUAUAUAAUAUUUUAUUGGGGUGAUAUAAAUAUAAUAAAUAACUAUUUAAUUUUAAUUACAAUAAUUUUUGAUUUUAUUUUAAAAGAUCCUUUAUUAAGAUUUUUAGAUCAAGUUACUUUAGGGAUAACAGCGUUAUUUUUUUUAAGAGUUCUCAUCAAAAAAAAAGUUUGCGACCUCGAUGUUGAAUUAAAAUAUCCUUAUGGUGCAGAAAUUAUAAGAGAAAGUCUGUUCGACUUUUAAAAUUUUACAUGAUUUGAGUUCAAACCGGCGUAAGCCAGGUUGGUUUCUAUCUAGA
rnacentral:rRNA from 1 species